GAUGAACGCUAGCGGCAGGCUUAAUACAUGCAAGUCGAGGGGCAGCGCGGGUAGCAAUACCUGGCGGCGACCGGCGCACGGGUGCGUAACACGUAUGUAACCUACCUUAAACUGGGGAAUAGCCCCUCGAAAGAGGGAUUAAUACCCCAUAAUACUGCGGGAAGGCAUCUUCCUUCAGUUAAAGUUCCGACGGUUUAAGAUGGGCAUGCGCGACAUUAGCUAGUUGGUGAGGUAACGGCUCACCAAGGCUGUAAUGUCUAGGGGUUCUGAGAGGAAAAUCCCCCACACUGGUACUGAGACACGGACCAGACUCCUACGGGAGGCAGCAGUAAGGAAUAUUGGUCAAUGGGCGCAAGCCUGAACCAGCCAUGCCGCGUGCAGGAUGACGGCCCUAUGGGUUGUAAACUGCUUUUGUACGGGAAAAAACCCUCGCUCGUGAGCGGGGCUGAUGGUACCGUAAGAAUAAGGAUCGGCUAACUCCGUGCCAGCCGCCGCGGUAAUAC
rnacentral:rRNA from 1 species